CUAGCUAAAUAAUUUAAAGCUGUUGGUGACAAUCGCGCACAUUUUCUUUGAAACAAUUUUUUGCAAUAAUUACGAGAAGUUUAUCAUCAGCUCAUCCCUUCCCCGCCAAAAUGGAAAAAUUAUCUGAAAGCGAGUCGGAUGAGCAGCCUCCCAAAAUUGCAAAAAUUGCGACAGCAUCUCGGAGAAGAAAGAGCAAUUUUAAAGCGCAAUGGCUUACGGAGUUUAAUUGGAUACGAAAAACGCGAAAUUCCACUGAAGCGAGAUGUGCUGCAUGCAGCUGCAACUUUACGAUUGAAUACGGUGAGAAAACAGCCAUAUACCGGCAUUUGAAACGUGCUAAACACGUUAAUAAUAUGAAAACAUUUCAUAACCAAUAAUCGGUGGUCAGUCUUUUGACAUCUGCGAAAAAUUUAAAUACUAGUGAAAAAUGUUUGGCGGAGGCUGUAUUUGCAUACCAUACAGUGGUUCACAGUCAUAGUUAUUUGUCGGCUGAUAGUAGCGGUAAGCUUUUUAAGAAAAUAUUUUCUGAUUCCGAAAUUGCAAAGAACUUUUCAUGUGGGCGAACAAAGUGUUCUAAAAUCGUUACAAAUAUGUUGGCGAAGCACUCUAUGAUGUUGUUUUACAUGAUUUAGAAGAAAAUCAUCCGUUUUCGCUGUCAACUGAUGCUUCUAACAAGGGAAAUAUCAAAACGUUUCCCAUAGUAUUGCGAUAUUUCAAUAAGAAGUCAGGUAUUAAUACAAAACUUUUGAAUUUUAGUAGUUUUCAUUCCGAACUUUCACUUGACGUUGCAAAUUUACUAAAAUUUAAACUACAAGCAAAUGCCCUAAAUUUAUUGAAUGUAACAAGUUUUUGCGCAGAUAAUGCUAAUGUGAAUUUUGGAAGCAAGAAAAGCAUAUUCGUUGAACUAAAAAAAGAAAAUUCGGAAAUAAUAGGCAUCGGUUGCCUAUGUCAUACACUUCACAAUUCGUUUAAGAAUUCGCUUCAAUAUUUAAAAUAUUGUAUCGAAAAUAUAAUUCUAAAAAUUUUUAAUGAGUUUAACUCUUCAACCAAGAGAACAACAAAGCUUAAGGAGUUGUUUGAAUUUUGUGACAUAGAAUGGAGUGAGAUGUUACGCCAUGUUCCAACUAGAUGGUUAAGUUUAACCCCUGCUAUUGAGAGGCUUUAUAAAAAUUGUAAUGCGAUAAAAUGUUAUAUCAUGUCACAAGAAUAUUGUCAAAAAAUUUUAAAACAGUUUUUCGAUCUUGAUGUUGCGAAAGCUUACUUGGGGUUUUCUAAUAAAUGUUGGUAAAAUUUUUGUCAAUACAAUAAAAAAUUAGAAACUGAUAACGAAUUAGUAUUCUUAAAUCUGUUUAGUAUAAUGAACAAACUGUAUAAAACGAUUAUUGAAAAAAGAAAACAGAAGUUUUAAGGAAGCAUUGCCCAAACUGUUUGUAAUAAGAGUAAUAAUAAUCAGGAAGUAAUAUUGUUCAAAAAGCGAGCGGAUGCAUUUCUUAGUAAUAUAAUUAAUUACUUAGAGGAACAUUUUAACUCUGAUGAUAACAAGUUUGAAACACAAAGCAAUCUAAAUUUAGAUUCAACACCGUGUUUUAAUUCUCUUAUUGAAAUAACAACAUUUGUUUAAUAUAAGAGCUAUUAAUCAGGACAGUUUAUUUGAUGAAUUUAUUGCAUUAAAAGGAUUUUGUGACAAUAAUAAAUAAAAAAAUAUUACAAAAAAAUUGAUGGAAUUUUUGAACAGUGGCGCUUUUCCUAAUCUGGAGAAAAUAUGCCAUUAUAUUUUUUUCAUUCCUCAUUCAAAUGCGGCGACGAAGAGAAUAUUUAGUUUAAUGUUUAACUUUUGGCGAAAAGAAAGAAAUAGGCUGUCCUUAGAAAAUGUCGAGAGUGAACUCAUUGUAAAAAAACAACUUCAAUUUAACUGAAAACAGAAACUGGCGAAGAUAUCGUAUCUAAUAUAAAAAAAUCUGAAAAAUAUUAAAUUAAUUAUAAGGCUUAAAUUAAAAAAAGGCCAUAUAUUCGAAGAG